rnacentral:rRNA from 1 species
AUGAUUCAAAAGGGCCCUCACAGCCCAUAUCCAACUGCCUUACAGCCCACAGGGCUCUCCCCUCCCUCUCUCUCGCCGCCGCAGCCUCCUCGCACAUCUCAUCUCCGUCCUCGCCCGCUGCCGCUCCCGCCGCCCCGCACCCCUUCCGCACGGAUCCGCCUGCCCAUCCUCCGCAUCUCCAUGGCCGGACAUUCGGGUACCGCUCACGCCAGCGGCCGCGGGAAGACUCCGCCCCCCUCCACCAAUCUCCUCCGCAUUUCAAUGGCGGGAGACCCGGACCAAGCUCGCACUUCACCUUCGCACUGCCGUGGCCGCGGCCGCGGCCGCGGCCGCCUUGACUCCCAGGCCCCCAAGGGCAACCAGGCCGUUACAGACGAGCCCGAUUGUACGGUCGUCACCUCGUUCUUGCGCGGCCGCGGGAAGAUUCCACCCCCCUCCACCAAUCUCCCCCGCAGCUCAAUGGCGGGAGACCUGGACCAAACUCGCACUUCACCUUCGCACGGCCGCGGCCGCCUUGGCUCCCAGGCCCCCAAGGGCAAGCAGGCCGUUACAGACGAGUCCGAUUGUACGGCUGUCACCUCCUCGCGCGGCGGCGGGAAGACUCGGCCGCCCUCCACCAAUCUCCUCCGCAGCUCAAUGGCGGGAGAUCCGGACCCAGGAUUUGUGGCGGACACGCGGCGGAUCAGCCAGGCCCUCGCCGCUCCCCCAACUUGCGCCAGCUCGUCACGUACUAAGUCAUCGAGCAGCUUCUCGAGCGGCCGCGCAGCACUUCCUUUCAUGGACAAAGGCAAGCAACCUGCCAAGGAGCAGGUGGCUGAGAGGCCACAGCCUACGGGAUUUAUGGCGGACGCGCGGCGGAUCAGCCGGGGCCCUACUGCUCCUCCAACUCAUGCUACUUUGUCUUAUACCAAGUCACGAAACAGGGUCAGAGAGGAGGCAGUGUCAAAUUUUACGCUCAAGCCUUUAGGAUCUACCGUGACAAGACCUUUUAUACUCCGCAAUGAAGUGUUCACAGAGCUGCUCCCGCAUCAGGUGGAGGGCCUGGAAUGGCUUUGGAAUAUCCAUUGCCGUGGAACGGGAGGGUUAGUAGCUGAUGAUAUGGGUCUCGGCAAGACUAAACAGAUACUAGCAUUUUUAGCAGGUCUCCUUGAAUCAAAGCUGAUGAAAACAGCACUAAUUGCUGUUCCUGCAGCCAUUGUGCAUCAAUGGAUUGAAGAAAUGAUUGAUCUUGGCCUAGAGAACUACAUACACAUAUUUAAGGAUAAACAAACAAGGAAAGAGGAGCUUGCCAAGUUUUGUGAGUCUGGGGGCCUUCUUAUCACUACACACACUCUAGCAACUAAUAAUUGGUCAGUGCUGAAGGGGCCGUGGGACUAUAUGAUCAUUGACGAGGCUCAUGUUACUUGCAAAAAGGAGACAUUAAAGUCAUACUGUAACUUGCAGAGGCUUCAUUGUAGCCACAGAAUACUCCUUACUGGAACUCCAUCACCGAAUGGGUUGAAGCAUCCGAGCACAUCAUUUCCUCACCUCACCAUACCAGCCCCAGGACUGCAGAAAAGCAAUCCACGAGGAGAUCUUUCAGAGCUCGCUCACUAUUUUGGUUUUGUGCAAACCUUACGAGCGGGACUAGAAUUGGCUCAACCGCCGAGGCGGGGCUGGGCAGCUUCUUCUAUGGAACGACCACCCCAGUGGAUUCCACCGCCACAUGACUAUAUGAAGUUCAAUGUUGAUGAUGCGAAGGUGCAGGUCAAAGGAGCAGUGGCUAUCAUCUCUCAAAAUAAGGAUGGAGUCUUCCAGGGCUGUCGGUGGGGGUUCACAGGGACCCUCAUAAUCCACCUAUACGUCAUUGCUCCUGUACCGAAAACCUACAUUUCUUACUGCCAGACCAACCUCUCUAACAAAUUGUUCUUGGAGUUACGCGCAAUUCUUAACUUCUGCUGCCCAGGAAUAUUCAGUUCUGUGAAGGACUUUCAUGAAAACUAUUUAGCUCCUCUUGUCGAAGGAAACUACAAGGGGUCUUCUUCAGAGCAGCUGAAUGAGUCUUUCAAGGCUUCGCAGAAACUGCAAGGUCUGCUCAGUCCUUGCUUCUUGAGAAGAUUGAAAAAUGUGCUAUCAUCUACAGAUACGCCUGAGAAAAAAAGAUUAAAUUUACCUGAAAAGGUUGAGUUUGUCGUUUGGCUUAGAUUGUCGCCUUAUCAGGAGAAGUUAUACAGAGAGCUUCUGAGUGGUGGUAUUGUUCGAAAAAACAACCCAGGAGAAAUGAUAGUAGCUUCAACGCUAAUGCAAAAAAUUUGCAACCAUCCUACUAAAUUGGACAAGAUAAGUCAAGAAGACCUAGAUGGUACGCAGAGAUUUGUUCUAAAAUGCAUGGUAAAAAAAUUAAGAAGCAGAACAUCUACAGAUGAUAGACAUUUUUCUGAAGAACAUCACUCUUCAAAACUUGAUAUCAUAGUGAGGUUGCUGGAAAGGUUUAAUGAGCAAAAGCUUCGAGUGUUGAUAUUCUCUCGAACUUGCGAAAUGCUGGAUGCCAUUGAGGAAGUGAUAGUUAAAAAGGGAUAUGUACAUGAUCGAAUAGAUGGAAGUUUGAGUGACAAACAACGAGCUAAGAGGAUCGAGGCGUUCAAAAAAGCUGACGGAGCGCCUAUUUUCUUAAUUUCCUCCUUCUCCGGUGGUACUGGAUUAGAUCUUCAUAUUGCUUCAAGAGCAAUCAUUGUGGAGCCAUUCUGGAAUCCAUGUGUUGAUGACCAAAGUGCCGAUCGCAUUUAUCGUGUGGGGCAGAAGAAAAAGUGCAUUAUCUAUAGACUAAUUAGCUCGGAAACUAUUGAAGAGAUUGUGUAUAAAGCACAGGUUUUCAAACUAGGCAUUUUUAAGUCUGCCACUGAGAAUAAGGACUUUCAAAGAUAUAUUACCGAAAAGAGGAAUGAGCUUCUGAAAACACCUCCAAAUGGGUAUGGAAGUUCAAGAACUCUACAAGAGUUAGAGAAGGAACCCACCCAAACCUUGUCUGAGGAGAUGAGCAACGAACUAAAUUUCCUCAAGAACAGAGAUAUUGUGGGUGUGUCCAUUCACGGUGCAUUGUUUCAAGGAGCGCCAAGUAGAAAGCCUAUUAAGAGCCUGCAUCGUGAUAUUACCCUCCGGUCCAAUUAUCUUCUGACGUUUUGGCCUGCUUCCUCCUCUGUUCUGGGCCGUCGGAUUAAUGCCAAGCCUCCCUGGUUCAUGGAAGCCAUUGGCGAGGCCACCUCCUCGAUCAGUGUUUUUUAUAACAACCUCCUGCAUCAAGAGUUUUGCUGUAAACUUAAUUUCUUCUUAUCGGAACAACCACUCGUCCACGGUUCUCUUAAUGACAGACUAGGGGAUGGGGGGGGGGCACCCAAGAGAGGAAAAAGAAAAGAGAAAGGGCGCCCUCACCUUUUGGCCCAGGACGACCCAGCCAGCCCAGCCCACUGGCUGGUUGGCUUCUUCCUCUUUAGAGACCGAGGGUGUGUUGCCCGCCCGCUCACCCGAGCGCCGCCGUUCAUGUGGCCAACGGCAAUGAGAAGCCGCAUUUCCAUGUCUGCAUGUCCCGCCAUGAAACAGAGCGUCCUCACACCGGAGAUCGUGACCUCGGGUGCCUUUCUACUCCGCGACCAAUGCCAUCUCCGCCGCAUCUGCCCACCGUCCGCCGUCUUUGAUUCGCCAUUCCCCACCCCACGACGCCUCGCCCCGGUGGCCGUAGGCGAGGUACAUGUGCUCGCCGUCUGCCCUCCCCAGACCCUUCGACCACUAUGGCAUGCUCGCAAUGAGAUGCUGAUGCCAAUACACCUCUAUCCCCUGUCCCCCCUGCUUUCUAGCCCCCCUGCCACCUAG